rnacentral:rRNA from 1 species
GAUGAACGCUAGCGGCAGGCCUAACACAUGCAAGUCGAGGGAGAAGCCCUUUCGGGGGCAGAAACCGGCGCACGGGUGCGUAACGCGUAUGCAACCUACCUUUCACAGGGGGAUAGCCCGAAGAAAUUUGGAUUAAUACCCCAUAAUAUUAUUGGAUGGCAUCAUUUGAUAAUUAAAACUGCGGUGGUGAAAGAUGGGCAUGCGUCCUAUUAGCUAGUUGGAGUGGUAACGGCACCCCAAGGCUACGAUAGGUAGGGGCCCUGAGAGGGAGAUCCCCCACACUGGUACUGAGACAGGGACCAGACUCCUACGGGAGGCAGCAGUGAGGAAUAUUGGUCAAUGGUCGGAAGACUGAACCAGCCAUGCCGCGUGCAGGAAGAAUGCCUUAUGGGUUGUAAACUGCUUUUAUAUGGGAAGAAUAAGGCGUACGUGUACGUUGAUGACGGUACCAUAUGAAUAAGCAUCGGCUAACUCCGUG